CACCGAUGAGGUUGUGAUUCUCUUGCGCUUCAUAAAAAGGGUCACCUCGUUUCCCAUACAGUCUCUUUGCCUGAAGGGCAGGAGGAGCUAGUGGGAUAAUCUCACCUUUUUAUUGGCACUGAGGUUGGCAGCAGGGAUCUGAAGAGUCACUUGGUAAUCGGUAAAAGAUGAGCUCAGAACAUGCAAAUUCGAGCUCCUUCUCACCACCUCAGAAACAGCUCAGGAAGAGGCUCACUGUGAGGAUGCAAUCACAAUGGUUCUCCCCAAAGACAGUUCCACUCUUCCAUUCACCCAGGCUUGGACUUCAGCCCUUCUACUACAAGACAGUCCUUCUAAACUCCUGGCUGCCUCAUGCCAUCCUGUGGCUCAAAGUCUGCUCCAGGGGAUAAACUGCAAACACUGAAGUCUACAACCCUCUCACAUGCCCUGGCUCAUACUUCUAGAUUUAAUCCUCCCUAUUUCUCUAGAAAUCACCUGCAAGACUAAACAAAACAGUUGUCUUGCAACCUCUCCAAUCCAUCUUUCUCUGUUGCCUUCUGUUUAUGCCAACUGGCCCAUGCCAAAUGCCUUGCCACCAGCUAGGGGUGUAGCUGGGAGGGAGGGUAGGGUGCAUACUUAGCAGUACAUAAAUAAAUAGCCCUCCUGCCUUCUCUCUGCCUAUUCAAAUCCAACCUUUCAAACUCACUUGAAAUCCUAUUUCUCCUUGAAAAGUCUCUGCAGGACACUCAACAUCCCCGGGAUCUUACCCUCCAGGAAAUGAUCAUCAAACUUACUGUCUGCUCUGCCUACCUGGCAAUCACAUACUUGCUUAUCACUUCAACAAAUCUAGUCAGUACAAAUGGUACCUGUGAAGUACCUACCACGUGACAACAGCACUCUAGACACUAGAGAAGGCUCAGUGAACAAAACAGAUUCUCUGUUCCCUGGAAUAUACUUUCCAGGGUAGAAGAGAAAAAAGCAAACAAACAACUAUAAAGUCAUUGUACUUCCUACUGUUAAAUGAAACUUUAAUUUACUAUCAUGAUUUAAUUUUUCAUAUGAUUAUACUUUGUUUCACUCAUACUAUAUCCUAAGUGUAUAAAGAGAAUAAAUUACAUCGGUAGCUUUCUCUGAUUGUCCUAGCACUUAAAAUACAUUCGAUUCUCUGCCUCUCACUGUUUAUGUAGGUGUGAGUCCCUCAUUAUUUCCUAACCCAUCAACUUGUACUUGGACAAGAGUCCAGGCAUCUUAUACAACCACUCACCACUAGGCACCUUAAUUAUAUCCAGUGAAACCUAAUUCAGUCAAUAUUGCAGCCACUCUUAUUCCUUUUUAAGAAUUUAGGCCUCGGG